AAAGUCUCGUAGUGACCUGCGGAGGGUCAUUA
rnacentral:rRNA from 1 species